GACGAAGGUGGCGAGCGUUACUCGGAAUCACUAGGCGUAAAGCGCGUGUAGGUGGGUGCUUAAGUCCGUCGUGAAAUUUCCCGGCUUAACCGGGAAAGGUCGACGGAUACUGGGCAUCUUGAGUGAGGCAGGGGGUACUGGAAUUCCCGGUGUAGCGGUGAAAUGCGUAGAUAUCAGGAAGAACACCAACGGCGAAGGCAGCUCGCUGGGACGGAACUGACGCUAAGGCGCGAAAGCGUGGGGAGCGAACAGG
rnacentral:rRNA from 1 species